AGUCAGCCUGACCUUUGAGCUUUGAAGCCAGGUAUUGACUUCUCUCUAGCUGUGAAAGUCAUAGAUGACAUCUUCUAAUGGAAGGCUGUUUUGUCUACAUAGA
rnacentral:miRNA from 14 species